ACACAAAAGCGCAUGUGCUGUGAGCUCGAUGAGUAGGGCGGGACACGUGGUAUCCUGUCUGAAUAUGGGGGGACCAUCCUCCAAGGCUAAAUACUCCUGACUGACCGAUAGUGAACCAGUACCGUGAGGGAAAGGCGAAAAGAACCCCGGCGAGGGGAGUGAAAAAGAACCUGAAACCGUGUACGUACAAGCAGUGGGAGCACCCUUUGGGGUGUGACUGCGUACCUUUUGUAUAAUGGGUCAGCGACUUAUAUUCUGUAGCAAGGUUAACCGUAUAGGGGAGCCGGAGGGAAACCGAGUCUUAACCGGGCGUUAAGUUGCAGGGUAUAGACCCGAAACCCGGUGAUCUAGCCAUGGGCAGGUUGAAGGUUGGGUAACACUAACUGGAGGACCGAACCGACUAAUGUUGAAAAAUUAGCGGAUGACCUGUGGCUGGGGGUGAAAGGCCAAUCAAACCGGGAGAUAGCUGGUUCUCCCCGAAAGCUAUUUAGGUAGCGCCUCGUGAAUUCAUCUCCGGGGGUAGAGCACUGUUUCGGCUAGGGGGCCAUCCCGGCUUACCAACCCGAUGCAAACUGCGAAUACCGGAGAAUGUUAUCACGGGAGACACACGGCGGGUGCUAACGUCCGUCGUGAAGAGGGAAACAACCCAGACCGCCAGCUAAGGUCCCAAAGUCAUGGUUAAGUGGGAAACGAUGUGGGAAGGCCCAGACAGCCAGGAUGUUGGCUUAGAAGCAGCCAUCAUUUAAAGAAAGCGUAAUAGCUCACUGGUCGAGUCGGCCUGCGCGGAAGAUGUAACGGGGCUAAACCAUGCACCGAAGCUGCGGCAGCGACGCUGAUGCGUUGUUGGGUAGGGGAGCGUUCUGUAAGCCUGCGAAGGUGGCCUGUGAGGGUUGCUGGAGGUAUCAGAAGUGCGAAUGCUGACAUAAGUAACGAUAAAGCGGGUGAAAAGCCCGCUCGCCGGAAGACCAAGGGUUCCUGUCCAACGUUAAUCGGGGCAGGGUGAGUCGACCCCUAAGGCGAGGCCGAAAGGCGUAGUCGAUGGGAAACGGGUUAAUAUUCCCGUACUUGGUGUUACUGCGAAGGGGGGACGGAGAAGGCUAUGUUGGCCGGGCGACGGUU
rnacentral:rRNA from 1 species